rnacentral:rRNA from 1 species
AACGAACGCUGGCGGCGCGUCUUAAACAUGCAAGUCGAACGGCAGGACGUUGCUUGCCCCUUCUGAGAGUGGCGGACUGGUGAGUAACACGUGGGUGACAUACCUUUUAGUAAGGGAUAGCUAUUAGAAAUAGUAGGUAAUACCGAAUGUGACCGUACCUGUUAGAGGGGUACGAGGAAAGGAGCUAAGGCUUCGCUAAAAGAAUGGAUCGCGGCCCAUUAUGCUCGUUGGUGAGGUAACGGCCCACCAAGGCGAUGAUGGGUAUCCGGCCUGAGAGGGUGAACGGACACAUUGGGACUGAGAUACGGCCCAGACUUCUACGGGAGGCAGCAGUUAAGAAUAUUCCGCAAUGGACGAAAGUCUGACGGAGCGACGCCGCGUGGAUGAAGAAUGCCGAAAGGUUGUAAAAUCCUUUUAAGCCUGAUGAAUAAGCACAGUAGGGAAUGAUUGUGCGGUGACCGUAGGGCUUGAAUAAGCACCGGCUAAUUACGUG